rnacentral:rRNA from 1 species
GACGAUCGGUAGCCGGACUGAGAGGUUGAUCGGCCACAUUGGGACUGAGACACGGCCCAGACUCCUACGGGAGGCAGCAGUGGGGGAUAUUGCACAAUGGAGGAAACUCUGAUGCAGCGACGCCGCGUGAGGGAAGACGGUUUUCGGAUUGUAAACCUCUGUCUUCAGGGACGAAAUGAAUGACGGUACCUGAGGAGGAAGCUCCGGCUAACUAC